GACGAACGCUGGCGGCGUGCUUAACACAUGCAAGUCGAACGAUGAACCCGGAGCUUGCUCCGGUGGAUUAGUGGCGAACGGGUGAGUAACACGUGAGUAACCUGCCCUUGACUCUGGGAUAACUGCGGGAAACUGUAGCUAAUACCGGAUACGACCCUGGCGGCAUCGCCAGGGGGUGGAGAGAAUUUCGGUCAAGGAUGGACUCGCGGCCUAUCAGCUAGUUGGUGAGGUAACGGCUCACCAAGGCGACGACGGGUAGCCGGCCUGAGAGGGUGACCGGCCACACUGGGACUGAGACACGGCCCAGACUCCUACGGGAGGCAGCAGUGGGGAAUAUUGCACAAUGGGCGCAAGCCUGAUGCAGCAACGCCGCGUGAGGGAUGACGGCCUUCGGGUUGUAAACCGCUUUUGUCAGGGAAGAAAUCUUCUGGGUUAAUACCUCGGGAGGAUGACGGUACCUGAAGAAUAAGCACCGGCUAAC
rnacentral:rRNA from 1 species